rnacentral:rRNA from 1 species
GACGAACGCUGGCGGCGUGCUUAACACAUGCAAGUCGAACGGAAAGGCCCUGUUCUUGUGGGGUGCUCGUGUGGCGCACGGGUGUGUAACACGUGAGUAACCUCCCCUUGAGUUUGGGAUACCUCCAGUAAACUGGGGCUAAUACAGGGUAUGAGCUCCUGAUGCACGGGGGGGGUUGGUAAGUGUCGCAGUUUGGGGAUGGACUCGCGGCUUAUCAGCUUGUUGGUGGGGUAGUGGCUUACCAAGGCAUUGACGGGUAGCCGGCCUGGGAGGGUGACCGGCCACAAUGGGACUGAGGUACGGCCCAGAGUGCUACUGGGGGCAGGGGUGGGAAAUAUUGCGCAAUGGGCGGAAGCCUGGUGCAACGACGCCGGGUGCGGAAUGACUGCCUUCGGGGUAUAAACCGCUUUCGCCUGUGACGAAGCGUGAGUGACGGUAAUGGGUAAAGAAGCACCGGCUAACUACGUG